UACGUAGGGAGCAAGCGUUGUCCGGAAUCAUUGGGCGUAAAGCGCGCGUAGGUGGCUUCGUAAGUCCGUUGUGAAAGUCAAAGGCUCAACCUUUGAAAGCCGAUGGAUACUGCGGAGCUAGAGUACGGAAGAGGCGAGUGGAAUUCCUGGUGUAGCGGUGGAAUGCGCAGAUAUCAGGAGGAACACCGGUGGCGAAGGCGGGUCUCUGGGCCGAUACUGACGCUGAGGAGCGAAAGCGUGGGGGAGCGAACAGG
rnacentral:rRNA from 1 species